rnacentral:lncRNA from 1 species
AUAUUAUUUUUGUAUGGGAUUAAUACUUAACUUGAUACCUAUUAAUAGGUAUUUACAUAAUACUUCAAUUAGACAGGCGCGGGCGUCAAGAAAACAGUAUCACAAUCUUAUUUAUUUGACUAGAAAUUAUUCAUUUUCUCUCAUAACUGCUGAUACAAAACUAACAACUUGCAA